UACGUAGGGUGCAAGCGUUGUCCGGAAUUAUUGGGCGUAAAGAGCUCGUAGGCGGUCUGUCACGUCGGCUGUGAAAUCCCGAGGCUCAACCUCGGGCCUGCAGUGGGUACGGGCAGACUAGAGUGCGGUAGGGGAGAUUGGAAUUCCUGGUGUAGCGGUGGAAUGCGCAGAUAUCAGGAGGAACACCAAUGGCGAAGGCAGAUCUCUGGGGCCGUA
rnacentral:rRNA from 1 species